CCCCGCCUGCGCCCCAGCCCUCCUUUCGCGGGUGCCGCUCCUACUGGGUCGGGCUCCCCGGAAGGCUUCACUUUACCUCACCCGCCUCUUUCCUUUUCACCGCUGAUGUGAUUUUCAUGCUAGUCUCAUUUUUCCGACAAAAAGGGACAAAACAAAGUUUCAAGGGUGCUGUUAAUCGCAGAAAGUCCGCAUCCUCCGUCUUCUGCCAUAAGCCGUGAGUCACGUGUGCAGCCUCCUGCCGGGGCCCUCGGGACGUGCCCACACAGAGCCUGGGGGGAAGGGACCCCUGCCUCUCCAAAGCCGCGAUCCCAGCUCCCGGGGCGCAGGCGGCGGGCUGGGCCCUGCGGCCCCGGGGAGAGCCCGGCCCGCCAGGCGAUUUCGCACUGGGAGCAAGAGCAAAAUUAGUGAAGCAACACAGCGUUGCACGGUGACGGCCGGGGCUCUUCGGACGGGCCCUCUGACCCCCCAGGGACAGAUCUCAGACUUCCACCCCUGUGGUUUUCAUCCCUAUUUUCUCUCUCUUCGAGAUUAUGAUGUUUAGUGCUCUCAACUACGCCAGGAGACCUUCUCAGAAAAAAAUAUCUUCAAUAAAUCUAAUACAUCAGUGACUGAAUUCAAUUGCCAAAGUUCACCGUCUUAUUCCAGUUCACGAAACAGACACCUUCUUCUCCAACCUAACCCAGGGAGCUUGCAAGGGUCAAAGAACAGCCCAGAACACAAGGCAUCAAUUCAAGCAGUUCAAGAAUUCAGUUCAUUGCAGACGAGAAGGAUAGAUGAUGAUAUGCAGGUUGUGAAACUAGUUCUUUAGUGCUUUGGGGUUGUUUUUUUGUUUGUUUGUUUGUUUGUUUUAAUAAAAUUGGCACUUAGGCGUCUUAUUUUA